UCAAACUGAAGACGGCGACCGGCGCACGGGUGAGUAACACGUAUCCAACCUGCCGAUAACUCCGGAAUAGCCUUUCGAAAGAAAGAUUAAUACCGGAUAGUAUACGAAUAUCGCAUGAUAUUUUUAUUAAAGAAUUUCGGUUAUCGAUGGGGAUGCGUUCCAUUAGUUUGUUGGCGGGGUAACGGCCCACCAAGACUACGAUGGAUAGGGGUUCUGAGAGGAAGGUCCCCCACAUUGGAACUGAGACACGGUCCAA
rnacentral:rRNA from 1 species